rnacentral:lncRNA from 1 species
GAAACCGAGGCUGUACAUACAUUUUUUUAUUCCUAUAACUGCAUCCCUGGCUAGCCCUUCCGUGGCUGUCUUCCGUGGCUGGAGCUUUAGUAAAGGAGACGCAAAUCCGGACUCAGUGUAACCUCACACACCUCCCUGUGCCUGACAAGAAAUGUGGAGAGGAUGAUGUCUGCUUCCCUGGGCCGUGGUGAGGACUAAGUCCUUUCCUAGGGUGGUGACUGAAUCACCAGGAAUGCUCCAGCGGCAUUGUCUGAAAGAGAUCAAGCAUUAGUACUGUGAGUGCCAGAAAGGGCCUGUGAGCCCAGUGAAGGUCUGGAAGCCUCCUGAGAGUUUCCGCACAAUUCUUAGAUGAAGAGAGAUUCGAGGGAAACAAGCAGAACAGAACUCCACAAGAGCACAAAGUCCUCAGAACAUGCAGCCCUGAGGCAAACCCACCCUGGCUGUGCUAGCCGGUGGCCACAUUCUAAAGCCAUUUGUCAUUCUUCCUGCACAGCCCUCAGCAACUUUGUCAGGUGCGUGAAGCCAAGGACCAGUGUGGCAGAAUCUGCUCCACAUGGCUCAUCCUAGACCGAGGACAAACACAAACCUCCUAUAGAGCAU